rnacentral:lncRNA from 1 species
AUUGUUGGAAGUAUCAUGUAGAUGUAGAUAGAUGUAGAAUUAUUGACACACAAGUGGCACAACGGUGCAGACUGUUAAUGUUAUCUGUGACACUCGCAGUAGGAAGACAAAAAAUCUACUGACACAGUGAAAGUGUUUACAUUUUGCAUUAUUUUUCUGAUUCAACCUGAUGAAUGGUGGUACUCAUUGAAUACAUGUACUGUAUAUGAAAUUAAUGAAGCAGUAAUUUGACAAAUACAAGCAAUGAGACAUUGUUCAUUGAUUAAAAUAUGGAAUAUUUUUCUGGUGUCCUUCACAAAUGAGACAAUUAAUCCUUGAGAUAUAAAAGAAUGCUUCAAGGUCAACAGAAUAUGAUUGAAAUUAUAAAGGCUUGUAAUGUAGUUUCUUAUUAUCAUUAUUAUAAUAUUGACAUGUUGUGAUGUCUUGCACUAAUCAGUGUUUGUUUUGUAUUAUAUUUCAGAUAUAAUAGUAUGAAUAUAGAGAUGAUUAUUUAGUUACCUUCAACUGGUCAAUGGUCAAAAGGGAGUAUGUCUGUGUGUCUUGAAGCAUUGAAUGCCCCCAAAACAACCAGUAUGAUAAGAAGGUGUACAAUCUGGGUUGAAAACAGCCAUCAGAAAUUACAUACAUGGAGCAUCAGAAAUUACAUACAUGUACUUGGAAUAAAUUAUUGCACAAUACACAUUUACUGAGAAGUGACUAAUGUUUAUGUUAAAGUGCAAUAUCCAUGUUUGUAACAUUUACAUGGGGGUAAUAGUUACAGUGUUGAAAGAGACUACCAGUGUUACAUUUCAAACUAAGUUACAGUGUGGAUGCUAAUUCUAAAUUCUUGAUAAUCAAGUGUUCUUAAUAACUUAUGAAUACUAAUAUAUUUAUCAAACUUUUAAUUUAUCACAUUCCUACAUCAUUAUUUUAUAUAAAAUGCUUGUAGUUAUAUAAUAUAUGUCAGGUUAAAUGGUAAUAAAUUUUGUUUCUGUGUAAAUAUCUUGCUUUUUGAAAAAAAAAUAUAAAUGCAACAAAACUGAUGAAAAGAUAGGCAGUUACUUUUCACAAGUUCAUGGAAUAGCAGAAUAUACAUAACAUUGUAUAGUUUUCCUAACUUGUAUCUGGGGCCAUCAUAAAUUAAUUGCUAGAUUAAAUUUUCUUCACAAGAUUUCAGAUCAGAUAUUUUAUUUUUGCUUUAAUGA